UGUAGGAGUGAGCCUGCUCGCGAUAGCGGUCUGUCAUUCAACAUUGAUGUCGACUGAUGAACCGUCAUCGCGAGCAGGCUCACUCCUACA
rnacentral:antisense_RNA from 2 species